UACAGAGGUCUCAAGCGUUGUUCGGAUUCAUUGGGCGUAAAGGGUGCGUAGGUGGCGUGGUAAGUCGGGCGUGAAAUUUCGGAGCUUAACUCCGAAACUGCAUUCGAUACUGCCGUGCUUGAGGACUGGAGAGGAGACUGGAAUUUACGGUGUAGCAGUGAAAUGCGUAGAGAUCGUAAGGAAGACCAGUGGCGAAGGCGGGUCUCUGGACAGUUCCUGACACUGAGGCCCGAAGGCCAGGGGAGCAAACGGG
rnacentral:rRNA from 1 species